GCCAGCCGCCGCGGUAAUUCCAGCUCCAAUAGCGUAUAUUAAAGUUGUUGUGGUUAAAAAGCUCGUAGUUGGAUCUCGGCGGUCUGAGGGCGGUUCGCUUGAUUGAGUGCUACUGCUCUAUAGGCCGUGGUUUUGCCAGAGGUCUCGGGGUGCUCUUAACCGAGUGUCCUGCGAUGCUGGCAGGUUUACUUUGAAAAAAUUAGAGUGCUCAAAGCAGGCUUUUACGCCUGAAUAUUCGUGCAUGGAAUAAUAGAAUAGGAAGUCGUUUCUAUUUUGUUGGUUUUCGGAAAUCGACUUAAUGAUUAAUAGGGACAGUCGGGGGCAUUUGUAUUCAAACGACAGAGGUGAAAUUCUUGGACCGUUUGAAGACAAACUACUGCGAAAGCAUUUGCCAAGAAUGUUUUCAUUAAUCAAGAACGAAAGUUAGAGGUUCGAAGGCGAUUAGAUACCGCCCUAGUUCUAACCAUAAACGAUGCCAGCUAGCGAUCUGCCGACGUUUUCUUUGUAGACUCGGCAGGAAGCUUCCGGGAAACCAAAGCAUUUGGGUUCCAGGGGAAGUAUGGUUGCAAAGCUGAAACUUAAAGGAAUUGACGGAAGGGCACCACCAGGAGUGGAGCCUGUGGCUUAAUUUGACUCAACACGGGAAAUCUCACCAGGCCCGGACACUGGAAGGAUUGACAGAUUGAUAGCUCUUUCUUGAUCCGGGUGGGGUGGUGGUGCAUGGCCGUUCUAAGUUGGGUGGGAGUGAUUUGUCUGGGUUAAUUCCGAAUAACGAACGAGACUCUGUCC
rnacentral:rRNA from 1 species